GACGAACGCUGGCGGCGUGCUUAACACAUGCAAGUCGAACGAUGAUGCCCAGCUUGCUGGGUGGAUUAGUGGCGAACGGGUGAGUAACACGUGAGUAACCUGCCCCUGACUCUGGGAUAAGCGUUGGAAACGACGUCUAAUACUGGAUAUGACUGCCGGCCGCAUGGUCUGGUGGUGGAAAGAUUUUUUGGUUGGGGAUGGACUCGCGGCCUAUCAGCUUGUUGGUGAGGUAAUGGCUCACCAAGGCGACGACGGGUAGCCGGCCUGAGAGGGUGACCGGCCAAACUGGGACUGAGACACGGCCCAGCCGCCUACGGGAGGCAGCAGUGGGGAAUAUUGCACAAUGGGCGAAAGCCUGAUGCAACAAAGCCGCGUGAGGGAUGACGGCAUUCGGGUUGUAAACCUCUUUUAGUAGGGAAGAAGCGUAAGUGACGGUACCUGCAGAAAAAGCACCGGCUAACUACGUGCCAGCCGCCGCUGUAACAC
rnacentral:rRNA from 1 species